GUUCCAAACAGACUACUUUUUGCCUUACAUGGGCAUAGGCGACACCCAGGGUGAUUUCUCACAGGCGUUUCAGACCACCUCUUCCCAAGGAUUUCAUCUGAGACAAGCUGAAGAACAGUGAAAAUUCCUGAUGCCCUCCAACCACUACAGCCGACGCCAUCCUAUCAACCGUCUGCCUUAUACAUUAUACUACAGCUCCCUGCAAUCCCAUGAUUCCUGCACACUGUGGGGACAGAGCUCGUGCACGUCCUGUAUCCGUGUUACAAGAGACUCCUCUACGCGCUGCCCCGGCCUCAGCCUGUGCACAUCAGCCAGGUUAGGAGAUUUAGGCAGAAUAUUCUUUUCUUUCUUUCUAUUUUUAUUUUUAUUUUUAGUGAAAAAAAUGUCUGGUGCCUGGGUUUAUUGCCUCCCCCAGUUACCACGUGUCCUGAAGAGUCCAAACCUAGAAAAUAAUGUCUGAACGGUUGACUCCAGUCCAGGAACACGAGGCAAGUUCCAUCCAGGUUUCUCCCACAUGGAAGUAGGGCUAUUGCCUGUUCUAUGUGUUAUUUGAAACAAACUCUGUGACAUUGUAUCUGUUGGCUUUACUCUUAGGUUCCCCGGUAGGGUUCUCCAGGCUUGGGACUUCAAAACAAAACGAAAACAAGCAAAUAAAACAUGCUACUCCUCCAUCA